CAUGAGGACACAGGAUUCUGGCAAUGCACAAUUAUAGGGCCUGUUCACAUAUUUUGUGCACAAAAGAACAUUCUCCAUCUUUCUCCCAAAAUAGAGUUUUGUCAGGGAAGUUGUAUGAAAAUAUACCUUUUUUUAUUUCCAGAGAGAAAAUAUGAAUUUUAUUGAUUGUAGGCAGGGGCUCUCUGUGAAGUAACUGAGAGGGCCCAACUGAAGUAUUUAUUGAAUCAUUCAUUUACUUUUAUUUUUAUUUUUGUAUUUGUACUACAGUCUACCUUUCAGCCCACCAGGAGUCUAGUAAUGUUAUCAUUAACAAAGAUGUCAGGGGUAGGAAUACGUAGUCUUGCAAGAGAUCUUCAACAGAAAUAAAUAUAGUGCAAGAUAGCUAACAAAGUAUUGCCAAACACAAAUAAUGUCUGAAGACAUUAGAAGUAAUUGUCAAGGAGAACAUCCUGUUUUGGAGCUUCCUGCUGGUGGGGAAACUGCCAAUAGGCCUCUCAUCUGCAAGUUCAGCCAGCAGAGCUGAGUAGAGUAACACCUCGCCCAGCCCAGCAUAAGGAGGUUUGGACUGCUCUGCCUGACAAGAGAAUUAGUCACGGGACCUUGAUUUAUGCACUCAAAUGCAGUAUUGGUUUGAAAAUGUGACCUGCCAUAUCUUAACAGAACUUUAGAAACGGAGAUGAGUCAGGCUGCAGUCUGGACUCCUGACAGAAAUUUCGUAAACCUGACUCGGCUUGCCAAAAAAGCUGAAGAAACCAACUUGCGUUGACUUCAGCCCCUAAAAAAUGGUCCUUUGUCAAAGGAGUUGUGACUGGUUACACUUGCCAGAAUCUGCUGAAAAACUCAGCUUGUUCAGAUGAAUAUAAAAAAAAUUGCAAAAUGAAGUGAUCCCAAAGUUCCCUUUCCCCUUCACUUGCUAACUAAGCCAACUGUGUUGCUACAUCCAGAAUGGCUCGAGCAAAUUAAUAAAAAGGCCCAAUUCAUUCAUUGCCCUUGUUAUGAAGCUGUUGCCCCAAAUCUGCUCGCUCAUGGCUCACUCCCACACCACAUAGAUAACUUUUUAUUCAUUCAUUCAUUCAUACAUACAUACAUACAUUUAUUUUCAUUUGUGAAUUGCUUCCCAUAAAACAUCCUGAAGCAAUGUAACAAUAAAAACAUAAAAAUACAAUUGUAGUCCAAUCUAUAUAAAGACUUGGAUAAAAACCUCCACUUGUUGGAAGAGGAAGAUAUUCAAUAGGUCCUGGAAAGAUGUUCCCCCCAAAAGGAUAUUUAGCUAGCGUCAAACUGAGUGCUGUCCUAUUUACAUGU